rnacentral:sRNA from 1 species
GCCAGGUGUGAUGGCACAUGCCUGUAAUCCCAGCUACUCAGGAGGCUGAGACAGGAGAAUCACUUGAACCCAGGAGGCAGAGGUUGCAGUGAGCUGAGAUCGUGCCACUGCACUCUAGCCUGGGCAACAGAGUGAGACUCUGUCUCAA